rnacentral:rRNA from 1 species
UAAUACGUAGGGGGCAAGCGUUGUCCGGAUUUACUGGGUGUAAAGGGCGCGCAGGUGGGUUUGUAAGUCAGAGGUGAAAGCCUGGAGCUCAACUCCAGAACUGCCUUUGAAACUACAAAUCUUGAGUGCAGAAGAGAGAAGCGGAAUUCCAGGUGUAGUAGUGAAAUACGUAGAUAUCUGGAAGAACACCAGUUGCGAAGGCGGCUUCUUGGUCUGUCACUGACGCUGAGGCGCGAAAGCGUGGGGAGCAAACAGGAUUAGAGACCCUGGUAGUCCACGCUGUAAACGAUGAAUACUAGAUGUCGGGUUUUUACUCGGUGUCGCAGCUAACGCAUUAAGUAUUCCACCUGGGAAGUACGAUCGCAAGGUUGAAACUCAAAUGAAUUGACGG